UAGUUUGGUAAAAGUACACACUGAGUGCUUCAAAUCAUUCAGAAGAGAUGCUGUUUUUUUAGGGCAGUUUAUAAAGAAGACCUGACAUGGAUGACUUCCAAUGAGAAACGACUGCUAAUACUUAUAUAAAUUCAUUACAGAAGGACCCUACCAGACUAUAUUUGAAUACGGCAUACCCAUGAAUUCUGAACUGUUAUUCCUUAACCCAGUUUGGAGGAUAAGAGCUUACCAACUAGUUAUAAAUAUGCUGAGGCGAUGUAUUGCAAAAUAGCCAACAUACAACAAUUAAAGGAUAAUUGCAGACUAAGUCCUGAUGAAGAUAUGGAUGACCCUCUGUCUGGUCAACAAUAGUUUAAAUAUGGAUGGGACAGUGAUGUGACAGCUCUUCCCUGGCUCAUUCACUUCUUGCCUUCAUUUGUGAAAGGAAGAAAGACUGGAGAGGGUCAAUGUGCAACUGAAGCUACUGAUUGUGCUGUGUAAGUUUUUUGGUAUUUUGUUCUAGUUAUUUAUUCAGCAGUUAGUUUGCUUGCAUUGUUCACCCCAUGUAAAUGCAUACAAGUUCAUAAAUACACAUCAAAUACAUUCAUCAAAUACACUCUUUUAAAACACUUAGGUGAUGAGCAUCAAUCCAUGCUUUGAGGUGGAUGGAUCAGCACAGCCCUGACUGCUCUGCGUUGGGAACAAAAGUUGCAUCCAGAAUUUUUCUGGACCAAAAAGCCAUUCCCUCCAUGAUGAAGACCACUGAUGCAGCCUUCCACUACACCAUGAGUAAAACAACUACAGAACUUAAUACCAGGUUGGAAUGUAUUUAAGAAAAAUGAAAUGUCUUUUGAAUUGAAAUGUUUGUUUUGUUAUGGAAAAAUCUUUAGUAUUGUGAAGGAUAAGCAUUUCUGCUUGCCGAUAAGGUAAUUGCAUGUAUUGUAAUGUUCAAGUUUUGAGUAGGGUGGCUAAUUUUUUUUAACUCUCAUUUGAUUUAUUAAAGACUUUAUAAUAAGUGGUUUUCAUGUCACUGCGCUGUGGUAUAAGAUAACUUUCAUUAUUCCAUAUUGUAUUCUGUUUCUAAUUGUAGCUGAGGUAUUUAAAUAAGCAGUGUUAAAUGCAAAGUGUUGUGUGUAUCAAUGUAAAUAUUAAAUGUGAUGUACUUUAAUAAAAGGAGGUUUUGCAAUAUUUCUUGUCAUUUGUCUUUUAUAGAAACAACCCAUUAGCAACAAAAGUGGCUAUUAGUCAGUAUUUUAACACUUAACAUUGUUGAAUUCACAUUACACUGGUGUUGACCUUAAAUUAUGAGUGUUAAUUUUUAACACUGUAUUUGUGUGCCAACACCAGUGUAGUGUGGAAACAACAAUGAAUAGUGUUGAACAAAGUGUAAAAUUUAACAAUAUUGAGUGUUGAAUUAACAUAUAAUGGGUGUUGUUAAAUUAACACUACACUUUUGACUAA